UGCGGGUUAUUGUUUGCCUAGGUAUGUUGUAGUCGACCUAAGGACUACAAUCUCGGUGGCGACAAGUAUUGCUAGCAUCUGGCAGAUAGGGUGUGGUUCUGUGGAUUCUUUGCCCUGUGGUGUUAGAGUUCCUUUAUUGUGCAGGGUCUGGUGGUUGUGGUGUGUUAUCAGCCAGUAGUCUCCAAAUAAGAGCGAUUUUGGGCUCGAAGUUGGGGUGUUGGUGGUUCUGGUGGGGGUCUUUGGGUAUUUGGAGUUCUCAGGUGCCUCUGAGCUUCAGGAAGGAGAAGUACUGAAGGACCCUAAAUAGGGAAGGAUCACUCAAUCGGACUCAAGGGAUAUGAACUCGCCAAAAGGGAGAACUGAUGGAUUGAAUGGUGACACAGUGGGUUGCGGAUGGCCCAAUGAAACUACCAGACUUCAGUUGGUGCUUGAUAUGACUCACAAGUCAACCAAAAGAAUGAUUUCUAAAUGUUGCAUGAUAUGACGCACAGGUCCAACGAAUUAGAGGUUGUUUACUCGGAGAUAACCUCACCAAGAAACAAGGAAGUGUUCUACAAAGAACAAAGGAGAAAAACUCUCAACAAAAGGGGAAAAAGUUUAUCUUAUUUCGUGGCUCAUAGGCCCUAUAUAUAGGAUUCCCGUGAAGACAAAAUUAAACUACUCGGAUGCUCCAGUUCAAAACAGGUUAGUCCAUUAGUUUCUUCAUCAUCAAACACAAGAUCAGAUUCUGAAAAAGGAAGUUCACAAUUAUCCUCACAAGUCAUCAAAUUUUCUAUCAGCUAUUCAUCAUAUUCAUCAAAAAUUGGUAAGGAAUAUGAAAAACCUUUUAGAUCUUCAAGAUUGUUUUCAGAUUUACCUUUGGAUGUUUCACUGAUGAAUAAUAAUGGCUCAGCUACAGGUGCACGUGUUGAUGUGCUUUUCUUAUGGAUCUGGCUGACGUCCUUGAGGGGUUUCACCACUCCCUCCACAAGGUUGUCACAAAACUCCCGAACUUCAAACUGAUUGAAAAGCCUUCUUUGAUCAGCUUCAAACAUCUUAACCUGAAAAUUCUCAACACAAAAGGUUAACAGAUAAAAAUAAUUCUCACAUUCUCAAGUGUUUAUCCUCACCCGUGUUUUUCUCGGAUUUUUAGUGGUCACACAAGAGUUUCCUCUCAAAGUUCUAAGAGAACAAAUCAAGUAACCCAAUGGAAUCUCCAAGCAACAAGGGAUGAACAUAAGAUAGUAAGAUAAGAGAACUGAUUUGUGAAAUCCGUAUUAACCACUCCAAGACUGGAUUUCUCCUCAGACAGUAGGAUUUCUCUUCCACCACCUAGCCAACAAAUCAAACUUUUGUUUCUUUCUCUUUUUUUUUUUUUUGAUAGAUCUUUUUUUAUAUAUAUAGAAGAAUGGCGAUAAGUAAGGUAGUGGCUCGGAUUUGAGAUAGAAAGAAGAAGAUGAAGUGUUUAGAAAAUGAAAGAUGAGAAGAUGGAUAGAUAAUACCGAAUGAGUGGCUCUGAUACCACUUGAAGGACCCCCCUAAAUAGGGAAGAAUCACUCAAUCGGACUUAAGGGAUAUGAACUUUCCAAAAGAGAGAACUGAUGGGUUGAAUGGUGACACAAUUUGCGGAUGGCCCAAUGAUACUACAAGACUUCAGUUGGUGCUUGAUAUGACUCACAAGUCCACCAAAAGAAGGAUAUGACGCACAUGUUCAACGAAUUAGAGGAUGUUUACUCGGAGAUAACCUCACCAAGAAACAAGGAAGUGUUCUACAAAGAACAAAGGAGAAAAACUCUCAACAAAAGGGGAAAAAAAUUUAUCUUAUUUCGUGGCUCAUAGGCCCUAUAUAUAGGAUUCCAAGUUGUAGAAAUCCAAAGAAGAAUGUGCUAAAAACAAGACAUUGAAAAUAGAAACAAAGACUUGACUAAAUAAAGUCUUUGACUAAAACUUGGACUGCCUCUUGAUAUAGCCACGACCAUGACUUUGAAAAGCGAAACAUAUGCUCCUGAUAUGAACCAAGACAUGUCCCUUUGAGGCCUGGUCGAAAUCUAUAUUUUCCCUUAGCCAAUAUUUUAUCGGUUUCUCCAUUUGGCCCAAACAAGUCUGUUUUUGAAUCUUUUUGAAAACCAUCAAGCCCAAGACUUUCUUGGACAUUUUGAACAUGAAUAAUCACCUUUGGCAUGGUUGAAUUUGUCGCUGGUUCAUCAGAAAGAAGGUUAGUCAUUUCCAGCUUCUCAGGUGGUCUGAAUUCGCGAGAACUGAAGAUCUCCUGAUUUGUAAAUGGCAUAACUGUCACAUAUAAACUCCGUUUGAUCUGAUUCUUCUUCAAGGAGCUCCGUAAUUGAGUUUAGAACAUUCUCCAAGUGAUUUCAUGCAUAGAAGCCUUGUGGUUUGGAAGAUAUGAGUCAAACAAUGAACAUAUAUCUUUACUGCUUCUCAUGAUCAAGCCAUGCAUGUCUGUUUUGCCCGGUGCACUACCCAAGGGCACAUCAAGUAGAGGUGACUGUUUUGUGGUGACUAGUGCUUCGACUGGCUCUGGUUCGUCGGGUUUUGCUGUGUCAGUACGGCCCCAUUGUUGUCUACUCUGAGUUCCGAGCUCAUGAUGGUGUUUGUGCAAUUGCAGGUGGUAAGGCUUUUGUGGUAAGGCCAUUUUUUGGAGGCGAGUGCAUGGGCAAGCCAAUUAUACCAGCUCGUGACUCAUAUUAUAACUGCGCCUUCCUAUGGAGUUCUUGAUCUCGUGUGAUGCACGCUCCUGGCAAUCCAUUCAAGUUCUCCGCGUAUGUUCUCUCCUCUAUCUCCCGGUUUCAGUUCAUAAUCGUGUUUUCCUUCUUGUAUUUUGUUGUUGCAUUAGUAGUUUCAUUUCCUUGUUUGACUUCUAUUACUAGUCAUUCUCUGUAACUUUUUUCACAAACUUGAAAAUGGUAAUAUAAUCUUAACAUGUUUACAAAAAAAACAACAUAAAAAACAUUAUAUAAUACACACAUACAAAAUAAAGACAAAUGACACAAAAAAAAAAUGGAACACAUAUACUAAAACAAGGAUGAAAAAGAUCAUCAUAAAUAUUUAGUAUAACAACUAAGAGAGUUCUCUCUUUGGUCUCUCCACUAACAUGUUCAAACCCUAGAUCCGCCGCACUCUUUGACAUCUCCGGUGACCGGGAGCUUUUCUAUCACCGAUCGCCACCCCGUUUGUUCGUUCCACCCAGUCUUCUCCCUUAGCCUCCCCUUCUUAGCUCUCUCCUUCUUGUUUGGUGAUAUGGACGUUCGCUGUAGGCGAAUCUAACUGGAGCUUCAUGUGUGUGUGGUUCUCCUGGAGCAUCAACGAGAAGUGGCUUUGUCGGGGAGUCUAAGGAGCUUUAGUUUCAGCCUCUACUUAUCAAUCGGAGAAGAUAUGGGUCAGAUCCAGAUCUGAUCUUUUUUACGUCGGAAAGAAUAGUUGAGCGCCACUGCCUCCUCCUCCCUUUCUCGGUCCUAGCUUGUACCUGUUGCGAUUUCGUCGGGCUCGUCUCAAGGUCUCUUUGAGCUUCUCCUCUCCGUUUUGGACUAUUGGCGGUGUGAAAGCUCACCGCUCGGAGGACCUUUUCGUAGUUCAAUGGACAACAUCCAUGGUGUAUCAACAGCGUCUGCUCGAGGCUCUUCUUCUCGCUUCCUGAUAUGAGCUCCUACGGUCUUGAGGACGGCCUUCCGUGUUUUGGUAUUUGUUGCAAAGAACAGAGUCGUCGAUCUACUGAUGUCUCACAUGUUUCAAGGAGUUUCGAUUCCUUAUGUGCUUCAUUCCCGCUCGUGUAGCUCCGACGAAGCUAUCUGUGUUCUCCCUUGAUGUCUUGGUCGCAUGUUUGUGUCGCAUGGCCGGAUGAGGAGUCAAUGUACCGCUUCGGCUUAACCUGUUCUGUUCUUCAUUGUCUGUGGCGUCACGUCGGGUCUGCUAAGUCUGUCUUAUGUCGAGAAAGUUUUGGUUUAAUUGCUCGGCGUCCACCUCCUCUGGUGUUCCGGAGCCGUUGCAUGUCGCCUCCGUCGAAGUUGUUUGGAGCCAUUUUCGGGUGCGUGUUCGUGUGAGCUUCCUUAGCUUUACUCUUGCUUUCAUGGGUUUUACUAGGAGUCAAGAAGUGCUAUGAAUUGGGGUCUUAUGUUGAAUGUUGCAUUGUUUUUGUAUAUUAACUCCAAAUUCACCACUCAUGGCUGCUUUGGACUUAAUAUCUAGUUCUUCUUAUGAACUUUUUAAAACCUUUUUGCGGUUUCUAAGAACUGCUAUAAACUGCUCUAUCUCCAAGUCAGCCAUCACAAAACACAUUUUCUACUCUUCAAACCAUAUAUACAUGCACAUGCAAAAUACACACAUACACUGCAAAACCAUAUAUAUAUAUAUAUAUUUGGAAAAGCCAACUAUACAAAACUCCGCGCGAAAUGUGGGAAAAUCACUAAUUCAAAUAUAUAAACAAGUUUAUAAUAUCUUCAAUGGUAGCAUAUAACUCUAAUUAUGUGCAAAUGCAAUGCCAAUAUAUCUGAGUGUAUUAUCAUGUGUACCACUUUUUUGGUAUUAUUAUUAAUGUUUACCACCACUAAAGAGACAUUUUCAAAAAUAUCUUCUUCAUUAAGUGGCAAAAAAUUCUAUAUCCUUAUUCUCUAUAUAUAUAAUAAAUAAUUUUUCAAAUAAAUUAAAAAGAAAAUAAAGAAAUUUUUUUUUUAUGUUUUCGAAUAUACUUUUUCAAAUUCAAACUUUUUAUAAAACAAUUUCUGAAUUUUUUUUUUCAAAUUUUUUUUUUCAAAUUUUUUCUUCAAAACUUCUUUUUGAAAAUCAAAAAUUAUUUUUGAAACUAUUUAAAAAAAAAUUAUAUUUUAUAUUUUUAAAUAUUUAUUUAUAUAUUUAUUAGAAUCCUAAAUUUCACAUUUCAAAAAUCAUAUCCCACCUUUCAACUUGAAAUCCUAAGUCUAGAUUAGUUAAUCCAAGGGUUAUAAAUAUCUUUUACCUCUCAUUAAAAGUGAGGGCAAAAGUGUUUAGUGUAAACAUGAAAAAUAGUAAUAUAAAUGUGAUAUUUUGGUAAUUUCCCAUAUAUCUGUUAAUAUUAAUCUAAUAUAUUAUCAUAAAACAAUAGGUAUUUUUUAUUUCAUAUAUAAACAUAUAUUAAAUCUUAAAUUAUACAUACAACUCUAAAUAUUAUACAUCUCUAUGAAAUGACCAUACAAAUUGUAUAAUUUUUAUAAAGAGAAAUUUCCUAAACUACCACUUUCUUAGUACCAUUUUUCAUGUUUAUCUUAACCAUAUUUAUCCUUAGUUUUAAUGGGGUAAAUGGAUAUUUAUGUCCCUAGUGUUAACUAAUCUAUAUAUAUAAAAUUGACUUUUUCCCUUCUUAUGACAUGUGGAAGGGGGUUUGUUGACAUGUGUUCUCAUGUUUUUUUUUUUGUAUUUAAAUUCUUUUUCUUUUAAAUUAUUGCAAUUUUCUCCAUCAAUUUCUAAUUGUGUAUUAUCUAAUCCUUCUCACAUACUUAUUGGUCUCUAAAAUUCAAGAAAUAAAUAAAAUAAUAUAAAUAUAUUUUAAAUAUUUAAUUUAUUCACACCUAAAAAUAGCAAGACUUUUCAUCAUUUUAUUAUUUUUACUAAUUUUUAUUAUUUCAUUUACAAAUUAUAUUUAUUUCACGAUUAGUAUCAUAACAUAAUCAAAUUAAGAAUAAAAAACUAGACAACCAAUACAUAAACUAAGAAAGCAGGCCAAAGGGAGAAUAAUAAUCGAAAGGCCAAAGCCACCAAAAAGCAGGAAAAUAUAUGCCUAAAACACCGGAAUCACAACCAGUAGCUAAAAAGUAAAAAACACCUCACAAACUAAACAAGAACAUACAAGACGGCAUGCAACUGAAAAACCACAAAGCUCUGGAUAGAAGGGACCAAAGCUCCAAGAGACUAACUCCGCACACCUAUACCAAGGAAAACAUGGAAAGAAAAGAAUUAACUUGAAAGAGGGAGAAUGGAAGACAACCACCAAAAAAUCAGAGACUAAACUUGAGACCAGAAAUAACCUUCCAAGCCCACAUAGCAUAUACGAACGAAAACAUUAUCCAAAUCUCGAGUGGCAAACAUGGUGAAAGGGAGAGCCACCAGAGAUGCGAUGAAAGCUACAAAGAGAUGCAAUAAUAGAGAGGGAAAGGGAGACGGAGCGAAAUCAGAAAACUAUGGAGCCGUCCUCGAGCUAUGAAAGAGAGCAUAGAAGUCAGAACACCAAAAACUAGAUCUUGAAAACCAAAGCGAGCAUAGACUAUUGACGGUAAGCCAACGACGAAGAAUACAAAAUCAAAGACGAAUAAACUCUGACCAAACCAAGGAGAUGCAGUUCCUAACAUCAGCUGAAAUCUAAGGAAGAAGAGAAGCAAUCAAUAUUGACUGGAACAGCCUACAAUACCGUGGGAAGCAACCGAACAACUGAAAACUCAUAAAUCUGAUCUGCAACAAAUACCAUAUAAUCUCAUAGGUGAAGAAGGCAAGAAGAACAAGAGAAAAAUGUGAGUCUUUUUCCGAUGAUGGUGAGAAGCACCGCACACCAGAAAUGUAACGAAAUACAUAGACGGUGAGAGCUCAAGUUUAAAAUAUGGGGAGAGGGCAAAAAACAUCUUAAAAAUUAUAAUUUUCAAAAAUGUGAAAAAUAUAUAAUACAAUUUUGACGAUGAAACCGUUAAUCUUAGAAUCAACAAAUGUGUAGAUGCAAAGUUAUUGAAAUUCAAUAUUAGUUUACGUUAGAGGCUCAUUUGACUACUAACAAGUACUAUACACACAACAACACAUUAUUCAAAAAAAAACAAACGCAAAAUAUAUUAACUUAUCACAUACUACAUAACAAACUAAAAACAUCAAAUAAUGAUCUUAACAAAUAAAAAUGAUAACAUAAUUACAUUAUCCAAAAAAAAAUCAUGUUCUUAGCAAUAAUAAAACAAUAUUCCGCGCGAAGCACGGACACCCCCUAGUCUAAACUUAAAGUUUAGAUUUGAUUUGAGAGGUUGGGUUUUGGAGUUUGCGGUUUAGAAUUUUAAAAGAUAAAAAAAAGUAAAUACUAAGAAUUUAAAAUAAAAUUUUAAAAUAGUUUCAAAAAUAGUUUUCGAAUUUCAAAUAAUAUUUUUUUUUAAAAUGAAUUCGAAAAAAAUUAUACAAAAGUUCGAGUCUGAAAACCAACAAUUCAAAAAUUAAAAAAAAUAUUUUAUUAAAUAAUGAUUUAUAUUAAUUGUGUAUCUAUAAAGCAAUGGUAUAAUGGUCUUUUGUCUUUUAAUAAAGAAGAUAUUUGUGAAAAUGUCUCUUUAAUGAAGAUAAAUUUUAAUGAUGGUACAAAUAAUAUGGUAAACUUGAAAUUUUCCCUAUUGUAAACUUAUAUAUAAUCUAUAAAUUAUAUUAUAUGUGGACCAUCCACCUAAUAACUGUAUAUUUAAGUAAUGAUGUUGAGAAAGUAUUUUAUUCACAUUUCCCUUAAAUAAAUUCAUAAUUUUCAUGACAGAAAUAAUUUUUGAAAACAUCAAAAUUAUUUUCACUCGUAGGACACGCAUCCUUAUAUUUAUUUAUAGGAAAGCGAACGAGUCUAAAGGUUUCACUAUUAUAAGACCAAAAAAGUUAGAAUUUUUCUAAAUUAGAUUCGUUUGACUCGGAACACAAAAAUGUGAUUAGGUUAAAUUAGAUAUUUUUAUUAUAUAUAUAUAUAAUAUAUGUAAGAAUACUUCUUCUUCUUCAGUUGUGAAAAAUAGAAUACUUCAUUUUCCCCUAAAUUUUUGACUAAGAAUCAUUCGAUUUCUGUAAUCCAAAAUGAGGAAAUCCUUUCAACUCUUGUUCACCUUCUUAACUAUGUUUAUCAUUCUCUCAUUAGGAACGAUGACAGAUGCGCAAAGGAAAUCAUUGUUUUGCACGUAUAAUGUUCCAGUUGACACAAAAAAAUCUUGUGAUCCACUGUGUAAUUCUUUAUGUAUAAAGGUAUAUGGAUAUAUUGGUAAAAGUGUUUGUGAGAGGGAGAUUAAAGGGUCUUGUCAAUGCUCGGCUUUUUGCAAACAUUCUCGAUAAGUGUUGGGAAUAUAAUGUCCAACCAAAAUUCUAUAUUACUUUUUUAACAAUAAAUGUCUAAAUAUUUCUAUUAUAUGACAAUAAAGUAGUAUAAUAUUUGUUUUAAUAUAUGUGGAUUUAUUUAUAGUAAAUAAUAAUUUAAAUUUUAAAUAAAUACAGGUGUGAAUAACAAAAUUAGAACUUUUUAUAAAAUAAAUGAUCACGGUGUUAUUAAAUGUUGCCAAAAUUGUGUACAAGAUCGAAAAGAUUAAGAAUAAUUAAAAAGAUAGAGAUGCAACCAUAACCAAUACUCAAAUGUGAGAUCAUCAACUUACAUGUAAGAUUUGUAUAUAUUGUAAAUUAAAUGAAAAAACUAGAGUAUAUUAUUAAAAUUGUAAAUGAAAAAUUGAACUACUGCAUUGCUUAUUUAUGGAAAAUUAAAGAAAUGGUAAAUUAAAAUAUUAAUAAGAAUUAUUUGGUUAUAACAAGUUGCCUUUGAACCUUUUUUGGGUCGUAUUUGAAAAUCUAUUACUUUCAUCAAAAUGGACAAAUGCUGAGUUUAAAACGGUUAUUUGUUUAUCAUAUUUACUUUUUAUAAUAGUCAAUAUGAUAAACCAAAUUAUAUUAGGGCGAUAUUUUUGCAUAUAUAGUGUUGUCAUUCUUUAAUAAAUUUAAUCUCACAUUCCUUUGCUUUUGAUUAAUGCAUUAAUUUUAAAAAGUUAAAGGUUAUUUACUUUAAGAAAUAAGUUCAUAAAUUAGUGAAACAUCCGAGAAAAGAGAAACUUGGAGGAUACAUUAUGUAUUUGACUUUAUUCAAAUCAAGAAGCAGUAGAAAAGGCAAGCGAAGCCAUGAGAAUCUUGAAAACAAUUCUAGUAAUGAGUAACUAACUAUACCUCGUAGACAUCUGAAACUGUUCCAUUCUCACGCACUCUCUAAGACCUCAUAGUAGGCCUGGGAUUUUUGUCCGAACCGAAUGGGCCAAACCUGACCAAACCGGUUUUUUUCGGUUUUCGGUUCGGUUCGGUUUUCAAUUCGGUUCAAUUCGGUAUGGUUUUGAAAAUUAAUUCGGUUUUCGGUUCGGUUCGGUUCGGUUUUUGAUUUUCAAAAAAAAAAAAUUUAAAAACCGAAAAUAACCAAAAAUAUCCGAAAAUAACCGAAAAC